GCUUGGUGGUGAGGGCAUUUGUGCAAAAGGUCUUUAAAGCGCUCCCAAGUCUCGAAAAAUUGUUCCCCAUCCAAUUGUGAGAAACUAGUGAUGGCUUUCCUCAACU